CUACGUCUCUGAUGAUAGCUAUAUGAAAGCCUUAAGUUACUGUAAGCCGUUAUUAUGAGAGGCAAAAAAAAAUAUCCUGCCGCCAAAUAUAUUGGGAAAAAAAUAUCUUGCGCUGCACUUUUACAGGAAAAAAAUAUCUGUCUUGUUCGCCUGGGCGGAAAAAAAUUUCUUGCACAGACUGAAUCUUCCACCCCACCCCCCUCUCAAAAGUCAAAUGGACCACCCCUAAACAUUAUCAUAAAAUUAAGAAAAAGAAU